rnacentral:lncRNA from 1 species
CAAACUCCAACACAUGACACGUUUGAGAAAUCUUUCAAUAACCUAAAACAAAUACACAGUAGCUGUUGAGUGUUUUCCUUUAAGUCCUUAUCCAGAGAGGGAGAAAAAAGUAAGAAAAUUUUAACAUUGUUAACUCUCUACCUGGGCAAGCUUCCAUUUUUCAUGACCCAGAGUCAGCUCCCACAUUGCCCAAAUGUCCACAGUCCCCAGAUGGGCACAUUGUGACAGUGCGUGACAGUCGCAUCACAAUGCUUCUCCUAAAAUCAGACUGGCAGCUCAGCUUGUCCAGUCUCUUGGACAGAGGUGAGGUUGGAAUGGGCAGGGGUGUGUGAAGGGGUGGGAUACAGAGAGCUUCAAAGGGAAAGGAAUUUUAGGAAAGUUUAAAAAAUCUUGAAUGAAUAUUUAUUUGGAUGAUGAGGAGAUCCUUUAGUAUACAGCAUUUAUGGAUUGUUGUCUAACCUUUAAAACUCCAAAAUGAUUUCUAAAAAUUAGUAAGAAGGUUCUUGCAACAUUCUUCAAUGCUAAAUCUGAUCUGGCUAUUGAAGACAAGUUGAAAGAUACAAAUUCUUGAUCUUUUGUGUUGAAGUAUUAAAAUUCCUUAACUGGAAUUAUUUGGAUUUAUCUGAAUUUGAACUUGAAUUGUCAUGUUUUUAUAACAUGUAUGCUAACUGAAUUACUACAGAUCCACUCUUUUUUGGCAAAAUCACCCUUUUUGGCAGUUGUUUACUCUGAGAGCACCUCUCUAAGCAAAUCUACAAAUGGCAUUAGUAGGUUUAUAAUUCUUUACCACCUCCUUUAUUUUGUACAGGUCUCUAUGGCACCUUCUAAUUUCUCCUCCUCAUCUCUGCACUUUCUCCAAUCUACUUCAAAUCCUAUGUCCAUAAAGUUUUUGAACACUGUCUCUUGCCUAUGGUCUGAAUGUUUGUCCAUCUUCCCAACCUUGCCAAAUUCAUAUAUUGAAGCCUAAUCCUCAGUGUGGUGAUAUCAAGAGAUUAGGCUUUGUGGAACAUGAUUAAGGAUGCUCUUUUAUGAAUGGGAAUAGAGCCUUCAUCUCUAUUCCUUCAUGUACGAGGACUGAGGGAGUUUGUUUCUUUGCCAUGUGAGUAUACUGCAGGCAAAGCAGAGAAUAAAUUCUUACCAGAUACCAAAUUUCCUGGCACUUUGAUCUUGGACUUCCUGGCCUCCAGACCUGAGAGCAAUAAAUUUUUAUUGCUUAUAAAUUACUCAGCCUAAGGUGUUUUGUCAUAGCAACCUUAAGAGACUAUGACACUCACAGUACUUAAUCAUCUCUUUUGUCUUCUAUUGCUGUGAAAACUCGGGCAGGUUGAUUACCACCUCUGAGCUUCAGUUUCUCUCUAUGUAAGUGGGAAUAAUUAUAGUGCCUAUACUUCAUAUUGUAGUUGUGAGAAAAAGAUGAUUUAAACAUACAAAGUCCUAG